UGUUCAUCGCAAAAAAAUUGACGAUCCCUAUCUCUGGUGAACCAAGUAACUUGCCUCAUGUUGCUUUGCCCAAGCUGCUAAAACAUCGGCAGGAAUUUGUGUAAUAAUGCAAUGUUUACAUCUAUAGCUCAUUUGUAUGUUUAUUGACUUGCUUGCUCCUUCUACUUUUCACUGCUAUCGUUUUUUAUUGUUUGCUGGAAGAGCCUGAAAAAUAUCUUCAUAGCUGAUCAGAUUCCUCCAGGAUGAGUCAAGAUUUUGAUGUAGGGCCUGACGCUCGAGUCGGUAGAAAGCGGGAAAAAUUAAAACUAUGACCGGAACCUAGUUUGCAUGAAUAUUAAUGUAUGUGCAUUUUUGUUUCUGAUUAUGCAGGCCUAGUCGAGGACUAUCACGUGGCCACUUAGAGGGGCAAAAUUAAUUAACUGCGCGGAUGGGGUUUAUUGUCAAAUAAGCUGUAAAGUGCCCAUUGGGAUAUAUGGAUGAAAUGCGACUUACAAAUGUAAAUUAUGAGCGUGGAGAUGUGAGCCUGCUUGUAACCACCCGGGAGAGGGAGCAGGUGGAGCAGAGUGGUUAUAGAACACACGUCGGCAUCAGAAAAAAAUCUUUAUUUAGACCAGAGGAAUCCCAAGAGCUGUGAAGCUAUUUUUCACAGACAUCCAGUAGAGGUGGCGCUAUUGGCUGUUGCUUCACAAAGUGGACUCGCGCAUGCAGGAUGAGGGUCGGUGGUCGAGACUAACGAUGGAGUAGCAGCCAAGCGAGGGAACGCGCCCGAGAGGACAUUCAUCCAGGAGAUGGAGCAAAGAGAUCAGCUCGUGGGCAGCACCGAGAUGGAUUGUUGAUUCUCGUAGGUGCUGGGGUAUUGCAGACAGUCCUCGACUUACGAACGCCCGACUUACGAACGUCCGUAUUUACGAACCAGCUGCCAUGAAAUAUAAACAAAAUAGCAUUGACAAAAUGCGAACUCAGAAUUGCAAACUGAACUGCGGAACUAUUUUGUUCAGAGGAGAGAUUAUCCGCGAGGUGAGGGGGCCUCGCGCUGGGAGUGAGUGCGUGCAUUUGGGCACGCGGACGUGUGUGUGUGUGAAAGGGAGUUAGUGGGGAGCGGUAGUGUACCGUUUAGAGCGCUGGGCUAUGAAAGCGGCAACCGGAGUUCUAUUCUUGCUCAGGGCCAAUACCAGUACCUGGUGUGGUGUGUAAACAUAACCACUGGGGAGACAAAGGCGGCCGGGCGUGGUGUUGGCCACCCACGCUCUUCUGCGCCGUACCGGCCUUCUUCCUAAGUGUGGCUCGCGAACGCCACUUGCUUCUGCAGUCUGUUAAAGCUAUACGGGAGAUCUUUGUCUUUGCAAUCUGAGUGUCAUCAGGGGUCAAGGGUGUGCCUGAUACUCGCUGUCUACUGAUGUCUAUUCUCGUCAUUUCAAUUGUCAACGUCACUGGCGCAGCAGAGGAGAAUGAGCGACCUCCGAGGGCUUUGAUAGAAAGCCUUGCUGGUGAGACCCCCCACUGACUGAGCCGAGUAAAUCUCUGCUGCGAGGACGACCACGGGCCAAGACCGUCGGCAGUGGCGGCAGUUACAGGACACUGCAGGGUGGAGGGGAACGCACAAACUCACCAGAGCAAGAACAACAGCAGCAAAACGGAGGCCAGAACUUGGGCAGUGCUUACACACAAAUCACCAGCGAGGUCUCUCCGAGUCCGCAUGCAAGCGGACAUCCCCCAGAGGGAGAAGCGGCUCUCUGCAGCAGAAACCAGACGCGAAAAGGUCACGAGAGGUCACGGGAUGUUUGCCCGAAAGACAGAACACAUUCAGCCGUGAUGAGCUCCUCCGGCCAUCCGCGGCAUGGCGAGCUAAAACCCUGGGUUCUGGUGCUAGGGCGGGAGUGGAGGGGUGGCUCUCUCAAAUUGCUCCCUCAGCGCCUGUAUCCCCUCUCCCGGUCCGUGGGACCCGGCGCAGUUGCACCGCCUGCGCGCUCGGUAGCUGCUACGCCGCCGUCCCUCUCUCCCUCCAGCCAGCCAGCAAAACUUGUUUUAAUAAUAUAGCACGAAUUCGAGGCUCAGUCAACAGGCUGGUUUCUCACCUCGCUACAAUAACUCGCGUGAACCGCAUGCGCAAGUGUCAGCGUCGCGUGGCGGGCUCGCUGUCCAUUUAAAGAAAAUCCGAAGCGAGACCCGGGAUCGACAGGGAGACGCCAACUUCAGCACAGCGGUGAUGGCAUUCCACCGCGCAGCGGUCCACACCGCACGCCGACGGAACCCCGAGAGCAAUUCAUGCACACGGCGCGCACGAGGGCUCACGCCGAGUCCAGCGGGCCACCCGCGCGUUCACGCCGCCUUCACGCGUGAGUGUUGUGUCUCUGUCUUUGUGUGUGUUUGUGUGUGUUUGUGUGUGUUUGUGUGUGUUUG